UUUAAUUGAAGAGUUUGAUCAUGGCUCAGAUUGAACGCUGGCGGCAGGCCUAACACAUGCAAGUCGAGCGGUAACAGAGAUAGCUUGCUAUCUGCUGACGAGCGGCGGACGGGUGAGUAAUGCUUGGGAACAUGCCUUGAGGUGGGGGACAACAGUUGGAAACGACU
rnacentral:rRNA from 1 species